rnacentral:rRNA from 1 species
CAAUAGCGUAUAUUAAAGCUGUUGCGGUUAAAAAGCUCGUAGUUGGAUUUCUGUCAAGGACAACUGGUCCGCCCUCCGGGUGAGCACAUAGUUUGGUCUUGACAUCUUGCUGGAAGCUGUUGCUGCACUUGGCUGUGUGGCGCAGUGUUCAGCACUUUCACUUUGAGGAAAUUGGAGUGUUUCAAGCAGGCACAUGCCUUUGGACACAGUAGCAUGGAAUAAUUAGAUUGGGCUUUUGCUCCAAUUUGUCGGUUUCUGGAGCUGGGGUGAGUAUUAAUGGGGAUUGUUGGGGGCAUCCGAAUUUAGCCGUCAGAGGUGAAAUUCUUGGAUCUGCUAAAGACGGACAACUGCGAAAGCGUUUGCCCAGGAUGUUUUCAUUGA